rnacentral:rRNA from 1 species
UACGUAGGGUCCGAGCGUUGUCCGGAAUUAUUGGGCGUAAAGAGCUCGUAGGCGGUCUGUCGCGUCGGCUGUGAAAACUCAGGGCUCAACCCUGAGCCUGCAGUCGAUACGGGCAGACUAGAGUUCGGUAGGGGAGACUGGAAUUCCUGGUGUAGCGGUGAAAUGCGCAGAUAUCAGGAGGAACACCAAUUGCGAAGGCAGCUCGCUGGGACGUCACUGACGCUGAGACGCGAAAGCGUGGGGAGCAAACAGG